rnacentral:lncRNA from 1 species
CUGUCAUCAGUUGAAUUGUCAUUUUGAACUUGCAGUAUAUCUUCUCCUGAAUUGUUGGUACCCAUAGUGAUUGUAGCCCUCUUCCUCCAUAAGAGUUUCCUUACUAAAUUUUAAUGUGACCUCUAGGAAUUCUGGUGAUCAUACUCAGGUGGGAAUCUCAACUUAUUGUUGAAAAAUAUAAAGUGUGAAUAAGAGGAAGAGGAUGGAUGGAUCAUUGUAGAAGUACAACACAGCAAUCACAACAUGCAUGUGAUCCAUCAAUGUCCCACAACUAUGCAACGGGAACACUAAAAUUUAAUCAUAAUGUACUAGUUGCAGUAGCAUAAUUGAACUAUUAAGAGUCAAAAAGCUAAGAAGACAACUAUAUUAACUGUGCUCUAAUCAUGACAAAUACUAAUUUAGGUAGGUUAGAAACCCCUCAUCCCUCAUCUUUAGUUAAUUUCAUAUCAGUAGGAAAUACGCAGGAGGAGGGGGGGAAUUUACAACCAGGUUAGGAAAUUGCAAUUCCCAACCAACUGAAGGCAACCCAAUUAAUAAUAUAAUACCUAAUAUAAUACUUCACUCAAAUUAACCUACUUGGAGCAGGUUUUGCUCAUGAUUGCUACCCCUACAGAAACACCACAUGCUAGAAAUAUCAUAGCAAGGCCACUUGAGAAGAAUCCGGCAUCAAGAAUUAAUGUGAUAGUAAACCCUGGAUCCUUACCCUUACCCUUUGAAGGACAUGUUAUACCCUUUGAAGGACAUGUUAUUUUAUCAAUUAUAUAAGUAACUGAAAAAGAGAAACAGCUUUGUACCUAUUCCAUGAGAAUAUCGAUACUGAAGUU